UACAGAGGGUGCAAGCGUUAAUCGGAAUUACUGGGCGUAAAGCGCGCGUAGGUGGUUUGUUAAGUUGGAUGUGAAAUCCCCGGGCUCAACCUGGGAACUGCAUCCAAAACUGGCAAGCUAGAGUAUGGUAGAGGGUGGUGGAAUUUCCUGUGUAGCGGUGAAAUGCGUAGAUAUAGGAAGGAACACCAGUGGCGAAGGCGACCACCUGGACUGAUACUGACACUGAGGUGCGAAAGCGUGGGGAGCAAACAGG
rnacentral:rRNA from 2 species